rnacentral:misc_RNA from 1 species
GCUGACCCCAACUAGUUUGAGAUUAAAACUUUUUGUUGUUGUUUUGAAGUCUCAUGUAUUCCUUUUGAGUGCUUUGGUGAAUGUGAGCACAUCAAUGAUGUUUUAAGAAGUUGCAUUUUUAUUAUUCUCUUCAUUGUCCUUUUUGCAAAUAGAAUAUUGAAGUUAUUUUUAAAUGUCAUUUUAUUACCUUGGUGAUUGGGUUGUUUGAUGGCUCUACAAAUCGCGUGUUGUAGCCGCUAUGGGAAUAUGGCUUUUGUGGAUAGCUGAGCUGGCUAUUCCUUCUAUUUCUGAUGUCAGUACAUUAGCA